rnacentral:rRNA from 1 species
AUUGAACGCUGGCGGCAGGCCUAACACAUGCAAGUCGAGCGGAUGAAGGGAGCUUGCUCCUGGAUUCAGCGGCGGACGGGUGAGUAAUGCCUAGGGAUCUGCCUGGUAGUGGGGGAUAACGUCCGGAAACGGGCGCUAAUACCGCAUACGUCCUGAGGGAGAAAGUGGGGGAUCUUCGGACCUCACGCUAUCAGAUGAGCCUAGGUCGGAUUAGCUAGUUGGUGGGGUAAAGGCCUACCAAGGCGACGAUCCGUAACUGGUCUGAGAGGAUGAUCAGUCACACUGGAACUGAGACACGGUCCAGACUCCUACGGGAGGCAGCAGUGGGGAAUAUUGGACAAUGGGCGAAAGCCUGAUCCAGCCAUGCCGCGUGUGUGAAGAAGGUCUUCGGAUUGUAAAGCACUUUAAGUUGGGAGGAAGGGCAGUAAGUUAAUACCUUGCCGUUUUGACGUUACCAACAGAAUAAGCACCGGCUAACUUCGUG